rnacentral:rRNA from 1 species
GACGAACGCUGGCGGCGUGCCUAAUACAUGCAAGUAGGACGCACAGUUUAUACCGUAGCUUGCUACACCAUAGACUGUGAGUUGCGAACGGGUGAGUAACGCGUAGGUAACCUACCUAUUAGAGGGGGAUAACUAUUGGAAACGAUAGCUAAUACCGCAUAACAGUAUGUAACACAUGUUAGAUGCUUGAAAGAUGCAAUUGCAUCGCUAGUAGAUGGACCUGCGUUGUAUUAGCUAGUAGGUAGGGUAAUGGCCUACCUAGGCAACGAUACAUAGCCGACCUGAGAGGGUGAUCGGCCACACUGGGACUGAGACACGGCCCAGACUCCUACGGGAGGCAGCAGUAGGGAAUCUUCGGCAAUGGGGGGAACCCUGACCGAGCAACGCCGCGUGAGUGAAGAAGGUUUUCGGAUCGUAAAGCUCUGUUGUUAAGGAAGAACGAGUGUGAGAAUGGAAAGUUCAUGCUGUGACGGUACUUAACCAGAAAGGGACGGCUAACUACGUGCCAGCAGCCGCGGUAAUACGUAGGUCCCGAGCGUUGUCCGGAUUUAUUGGGCGUAAAGCGAGCGCAGGCGGUUAGAAAAGUCUGAAGUGAAAGGCAGUGGCUCAACCAUUGUAGGCUUUGGAAACUGUUUAACUUGAGUGCAGAAGGGGAGAGUGGAAUUCCAUGUGUAGCGGCGAAAUGCGUAGAUAUAUGGAGGAACACCGGUGGCGAAAGCGGCUCUCUGGUCUGUAACUGACGCUGAGGCUCGAAAGCGUGGGGAGCGAACAGG